ACUACACUCUAUGGUCGCCGAUUGCGUCACGCGACGUGUUUAUGUUGUUGUUGUUGAACAGGUGUCUGUCAGUGGCAUAAAGUUUUGUUCUGUUAGAGCAAAGAUGAUAACCGACUUAGCAGAUGAUUACGCAUCAUACUUUAAACUUGAAGUAAAUAAAGAGAUAUCUCCAGUAAUGGAAACAAUAGAAGAUAUGUUAACUCGCCUGGAAGAGUUUGAAAGCCUGAUGGAUAUGGUGCGAACAGAUGUUACUCAGUCAGCUGUUGCCACAGUGCCAGAUAUUGUGGCCUGUAAGUCAGAACUGCGGACACUUUGUGAUCGUAUAGAUUGCCUUGAGGCACUGGUGACACGUGUGCGACGUGAUUUGGACACUGUCGAGUCUCAGCUUGACACUGCGGAAGCAACUGUUGGUGGUGAAGGUGUCAUAAGGAACAUGCUCAAGCCACUUUUUUUUAAGAACAUGAACAUCAUCUUGCAAGUAAAAAGCAGAAAUCAGAACCUCUCAGUUUAUAUGGUUACAGAAGCAAAGAAGGGAAGGCUGAAAGAUGGGUGGAACAUAUCUAAGGGCUGUACAAAUGAAACAAACUUGAAGACAGUGUUACAGAAAUGGAAGAAGAGUUAGAUGAAGAUGAAUUAUAAGAUGAUGAAGACAAUUAGGUGAAGAUAUGAUACUGGGAAAAGAGCAUUGAAAGACCUAGUCCAAACAAGACAUUCUCUCACAAUUUUUGAGGCCUUUGGGAGAACCAGUCAUGACAAAAUUAUUCCAUAUGGUAUGCAAGAUGUAUGAGGCAGGCAAAAAAUCCUUAGACUUCAAGAAGAGGGCAAUCAUUCCAAUUCCAAGAAAGAAAAAGUCUGAUCCACUGUCAAGGGCAGCCAGUUCUCCACCAUACCAGCCACCUGAAAUUUUCAAAACAGAUGACUAUUUUCCAAAAACUGAGGAGUCAGGAGCAGCAUCGAAUGAUUGAAGAUUUCUGUGGAGAGGCACUGCUACUGAUAUAUUUUUGUAUACAUUUAUGUAAAAGAACGUAACAUUUGAAUAUUUAGUCGAAUCUUGAGUUUUGUGAAUAUUUGAAGACAGUAUCUGAUAAUGUAACUGAUGUUUAUUUUCAAAUGAUUAAGGAUUUUGUUUUAUGUUAAACAAGAGUUACUGUUGUGAACACUACAUAGUGACAGCCUGUUCUCUGUCAUCCUGUUGCCAGAGGCAAGCAUGUGGUGCUGUAGAGCUUCCAGUCAGCUAGUCGGCAGAAAGCUUUGCAGCCUUUUGAUUUACAAAAACGAAAGUAAUUACAUUAUUAAAGAGAAUAAAAAAUAUUUCAUGA